GACGAACGCUGGCGGCGUGCUUAACACAUGCAAGUCGAACGGAAAGGCCCUGCUUUUGUGGGGUGCUCGAGUGGCGAACGGGUGAGUAACACGUGAGUAACCUGCCCUUGACUUUGGGAUAACUUCAGGAAACUGGGGCUCAUACCGGAUAGGAGCUCCUGCUGCAUGGUGGGGGAUGGAAAGUGUCGGCGGUUGGGGAUGGACUCGAGGCUUAUCAGCUUGUUGGUGGGGUAGUGGCUUACCAAGGCUUUGACGGGUAGCCGGCCUGAGAGGGUGACCGGCCACAUUGGGCCUGAGAUACGGCCCAGACUCCUACGGGAGGCAGCAGGCGGGAAUAUUGCACAAUGGGCGGAAGCCUGAGGCAGCAACGCCGCGUGCGGGAUGACGGCCUUCGGGUUGUAAACCGCUGUCGCCUGUGACGAAGCGUGAGUGACGGUAAUGGGUAAAGAAGCACCGGCUAACUACGUG
rnacentral:rRNA from 1 species